AGAUUAUUCCAUAGUCCAAGUAGUAUGAAACGGGUGAACGCUGGAGUAUGUCAGACAUUAACCGACUGUAUUCCUCAAGCUACGUUUAUUCAAUAUCCAGGCAUCAAGAUGAAAUUAUUCUCCCGCCUUUUCACUAUCACGAUAUUGGUGACACUGGUCACACUGGGUAUCGAUGCGAACGAUUGUCCAUCCACAAACAACCCCAGUUGUAGACCUUCGUAUAAUGGCCUUUGCUUCCUCCUCUGCAUAAAGGACGGGCUCUCAGGGGGAUUCUGCAAUCCUCUCACAUCACGCUGUCAGUGUACUGGCUGCACACCUGACUCAUCGUCCAAAUCAAAUUGAAUCAUCAAUAUGCAACUCGUUAGGACUUUGAUUCGAUGUGAAUUGUUCAUUCCAUAAUGGAAAAAUAAAAAUCAUUUCGAUGUAGAGAAGAAGAAAACUCUCAUUGA